rnacentral:rRNA from 1 species
CCUACGGGAGGCAGCAGUGAGGAAUAUUGGUCAAUGGGCGCGAGCCUGAACCAGCCAAGUAGCGUGAAGGAUGACUGCCCUACGGGUUGUAAACUUCUUUUAUAAAGGAAUAAAGUGAGGCACGUGUGCCGUUUUGUAUGUACGUUAUGAAUAAGGAUCGGCUAACGCCGUGCCAGCAGCCGCGGUAAUACGGAGGAUCCGAGCGUUAUCCGGAUUUAUUGGGGUUAAAGGGAGCGUAGAUGGGUUGUUAAGUCAGUGGUGAAAGUUUGCGGCUCAACCGGAAAAUUGCAAUUGAUACUGGCAGUCUUGAGUACAGUUGCGGUAGUCGGACUUCGUGGUGUAGCGGUGCACUGCUUAGAUCUCCCG